rnacentral:lncRNA from 1 species
AUAUGGAUGUGGGGAGUUUAUUUAGGAGCUGAUCUUAGAAAGCAGCUUGAGUGGAGAAGUGAGACAGGCAGGCUGUUAAAUGAUGCCUUUAAUGAGCUACUGCCGGAUGACAUAAUGAAUGUGCUUUUGAGUAUAAACAAAACAGUUGGAUCCUGUUAUGUGUGGGCAAAAGGGGUGCACUCCACCCCAAGGACCCUCUGAAAAUCUGGAUGAAAUGUACCUCAGAAUUACCUUACUGAGGACAAGGAAACAUGCUCCAAGAGAAAGAUAAUGGUCUCAAGGAGGGAGAUGCAGAAGCCAUCUGCAUUUUCCUGCGGGGAGCCCUCCAUGUCUACAGGUGACAUUUGAGGUGGGCUUAGGGAAAUAGGUGGACCACCCACAGAGUAGAGCAGCAGCUGAUUCUCACUGCCCCAUGACCAUCUCAAAAGCAAUGACAUCCCCUUCCCCAUCCUGUGUGUCCUACAUUAUCUCUUGAGUACGAAAAUAAUGUAGUUUUCUCCUUGUGCCCCAGAGACCCCGAGAUAAAAACAAGGUUAUAUCUCCCUAGGAUCCCAAGGAGUUCCCUGGGAUGAACAUAGGGACUUGUUUCUCCAUCACAGUUUCUUUCUGUCCCACUAAUGAGAAAACCAAAUAUUUUUCAGCAGAAAAAAAAAACAAAAAGGAAACCUCAUUUAGUUAUGCUUCUUGUUCUACCAUUGGGUGUGACAAAUAUAUCCAGACAACAUGCCUGCACACACGUUUAGGGUUGAAAUUGGACUGUGAUGCAUGUGUGCAUGUGUACAUGUAUGUGGAAUACAGAAAAUAACAUAUAAGGUGAAAAAAAUCCUAUUCUGUCUUACCAUUGGAAACUGAGAAUACCAUACUCUAAUGCGGAACAGAUGCCAUUUCUCCAAAGUUAGUGCACCAUAAAUGAUUUCUUUCUUGGGAGAAUUUUUGACAUGGAGUAAAGUUUAAAAAUAAGAACUUUAGUAGUUUGGCUGCUGCCUUAAUGGUUUGACUUAAGCCUUCAUUUAAUUUAUGAUAUUCAGUAAAAUUUUUGAAUUUCCGCUCUUUGUGAAGGUUGCAACAUGAAUAGCUUUCUGGAAUCUUUAGUAUAAUUUUUCCUGAACACUUAAUGUGUUUGACUCUAGCUCUCAAUUCAGGGUAAAAACCAAUCUCUCAGGAAAAAAAAAAAAAAAAAAAAGCUGUUGGCCAGAAGAUGAGGCUUGCCAGUUGCUCAGCAAGCCAUCAGGGUAGUAAAGAUCCAGACAGCCCAAGAUUGCCUUCCAGGCAGAUGGCAGGACUACCAAAGGGAAAAAGAAAGAUGCUGUGCUAAUGAGAGGCAUGAUGUCCCGAAGGAAGGAGGGCUGAGGGGUUUGUAGGUCCUUGUCUAUGCCCUUGAACUCAGUGCCCUCACUGGUAUUCCUGUGGUCUCAACAAGGGAAUGCAUUUCUCAUUCUCUGAGUGAAGCAACCCCAAAAGGAGAAGCUGAGCAUAAUCCACCAAAAAGGAAUAACCACUACUCCAUAUUUUUGGAACUUCUCAUUUGUCUCUCUUUUGGAAGCAAUUAACCCAGCAACACUCAGAAUUUCCAUUUGAGGUAGAGUGUGUUGUUAAAAAAUGACAUCUCUGUGACCCUGAAUUCAGAAUGUGUUUUAGAAGCAAAGAUGCCAACUGAAUGUCAUUUCCAGAGAGAGAAAUUUGCAGUAAAAAAGUAACUGAGGAAAGCUUCUAAAUUAGACCAAGUCUCAAGGCUUUGGAGUUAGAUAAGGAGAGCCUGAGUUUAGUUUUGGAGACUGUAAGUCAUUAUCCAAACCAAAAAUAAAAUAUUUAUAGUCACUAAUAGUGAUCACACAGAGUAUGCAGUAAGUCUGAUAUAAUGUAUAGAGUUUAUAGGACAUAUAAUAUAUUCACUUCAAGAUUGCAUGAAUUCCUACAACUCUAGUUAAUUUCCCUAAAAGUCAGCUUCACGUCAUUUUGGUGUAUAGCUGUGAAUGUAUUUUAGCUUUUAUUGCUCAUUCUAGUUGUUUCUAUGCUUGUCAGUCUCACGCAUCCAGAUAUGUGGAUAUUCACAGACAGAUACUCUAAUCAUCUGUCCAACCACUCUCUUGUCUGCCUCACAUUCCAGCAGAUGAGGUGCUUUGUUUAGAUUCCUUGCAUAAACCAGUUUCCCCACUUUUGCUCAUCAUGUUUUCUCUAACUAGAAUAUGCUCCUCUCUAUCAAAUAGUUGGCUUUUCAUAUUUUAUCUCAGUUCACAGAUCACUUUCUCAAAGAAGCUUCUAUAAGCAAUGAAUAGCAUGUCCCACUCAAUUAUUUGAUAUUUCAGCACUGUUUGCUUCUUCCAUUGUACAUAUCAGCACUUAGUCAUAUUUUUACAUGGACCUCUUUGUUGUCAGCUACUCCAGUACAUUGCAUGCUCCCUGAGAGCAUGUGCUUAAUUCGUUUUGCACUAUGUAUAGAGUUCAGCUCAGUGUCUGUUGUAUGCUCCACCAUUAAAAAAUCAGCGGCUAAAUAUGUAAACUUCCAUAUAACUUGUGUUCUUUGACUUCUGUUGUACUCACGUCAGCUGUAGUUAUAGUGUCCUCAGGCUCUUAUAUGUAGUUACCACUUCGUUAAUUAGCGUUGGAGCCAAACACUUCCUAUAUUUGUCCUGCUAAUAGAGGAAAUAUUCAAACAGGUGCCAGGAAGUAACCUUUGUUUUUUGAAACCCCGUGGAUUGUGACACUGUCGAGAUGUAAAAGCACAAGGCUGAAGGAAGCCUCAGAAAGGGAAAUUUUAGAUCUAGAGGAUAGUGGUCAAGAGAAUUGGCUCUUUGGCUAACUUUGAAAUAUUGUCAUGUUGCUUCUUUGUUUAUAAUUCCUGGAGUUAUACCUGACCAUGCUUCCUGUUUGAUUGUUGGAUUCUUCACAUGACUUGUAUAUCUGGCUCUCGUUCUCUGCUCAUUCAUACGCUUAUUAAACUCUAGACUUAUCAUUGAUCCUUAACAUUUAGAGAUGAAUUAUUCUGGGAUUUCUGAUACUGACAUUUAUGACAUACCCUUGAUGAUCCUUUGGUGUUUCUGUGUCCUUUAAAUUCUACCAUUUUUAAUGUUACUUAGUGUUUUUUUUUUAUUCGGACACAGUUUAAUAAUCUCUCAUUUAAUUAUUUAUAUAUCAUAUUAGAAAUUUAUUGUAUGUGGGGUGCUUCUAAGUGAGUAAAGUUAAGGAUGAGUGGAAAUUCCUCAUCUUAAGGAGUGUAUGACAUUCUGGAAUCGAUAUUUUUUUUUUUCUUUCUAGGUAUGCACCCUUGACAUAUAUGUAUGUUCCCAGGCUAGGGGUCAAAUCAGAUCUGCAGCUGCCAGUGUAUACCACAGCAACAUGGGAUCCGAGCCACAUCUGUGACCUACAUCAAAGCUCAUGGCAGCGUGGAUCCUUAACCCACUGAGCAAGGCCAGGGAUCAAACUCUCAUACUCAUGGAUACUAGUUGAGUUAUGAACUACAACAGGAACUCCUGGAAGUAAUAUUUUAAUGAAAUAUAGAUAGAAUGAUGGGUAGAUGGAUAUAUGGGCCUGCAUAAAGAUAGACCUAUACAAAAAUAACCCAAUGGGUAGAUAUACACAUGCAUAGUCAUGUUGACAAAAUUCAAAAAGGAAGAAAAUCUAUGAUAUGUGAAUAGUUCAACCAAGUUUUAAGGACUUUAUUGGAAAGAGAUGCAUUUCUGACUUGGAAAAUCAGGGAAGACCACAUGGAAAACUUAGCAUUUCUUCUGGUUCUUAUAGAAUGUUUUAUUAGUCUAGUAUACGUGGGAUUAAUGCACUCCAGCUUAACGAAGCUGUGAAUUCAGCCCUAAAUGCAAAGAGUAGAGAAUCUGAAAAUUUUAAAUUCCUUCCUUACAUCCUGCUAUCUUGAAUGAGAAGGGAUAAUGAGGAAUUUGCCUGAAGAAGUCAGAAACUGGACUCCAACCAGUAAGUAACAAAAGUGAGAAGUGAAGAGGAACACACCAAAUACUUUUAAGUAAGAGUGUACCCACUAAGUUAUGCACUUGGCAUAGUAGUUUUAAAGAGAUAUGCUCAAACUCUGUUGUAAAAAAUAUCAGCAACUAUGAAGAAAGAACUGUUGGGUCUUGGCAACUAG